UUAUUUAUGUAUGUAUGUAUGUAUGUAUGUCAAUAUGUUUGAUAGGGUUUUGCAAUCAAUUUGAUAUGUGUGUCUAACAAGAAACCUGUGGUUGAGAAUGUAAAAUGGUUAAGCUCUUUGAUAUCUUAGGAAGAAUUUAGAGAAAUUUAAAUAUUUAAUUCAUAGACUAAGAACAAUGUGAAAAAGAGAGACAGUUCUAAAAAAUAAAAAUAAAAAGGAAAGAUAUAUGUAAGAAUUAUUUUUGUUUUUUGGGGCCUCAGUAAUUAUGUAAUAUACAACAGCACAUUCUUAGUUAUGGCUUUAUAAAAUUACCUUACUAUUUCAAAAAGAAAACUUUACCAGGCAAUUGUGCUGAGAUACUGACAUAGUCUUUUUUUUUUUUUUUUUUGGGAAAGGUACAAAAAGUUAAGUUUUUCUUUUUUGUCUUUAGAAAAAAGAAAGACAAUGUGCGAGACAAAUAUAACUUCCAUAGAAGUCAGGAAAGUGUUUCAGGUAGAUCAAGUGUUUUAACUAUUGGCAAGAACAUGGAAUUUCCAUGUAGAAACAUUUACAGCCACAUGGUAAGAGUGAAAGGAAAGACAUACUCCUACAGCCAAAUGGCUUGACAACACUGCACGGGUGCCUGAGAAAAUGUUAGUUUUGGCAACAAGUAGUGGAGCUGGUACAGUGCCAAACAACCAUAUAUAUGAUACAGUGGGAAGACAAAUUUGUUUACUGCAAUUCAAAAGAUAAUUGCUUUUAAAAAGGGAUUUAACAUAGCAUUAUUUGGGCAAAUAUGACAGAUGCUUGCAACUUCAGGCAGUUAUGUGCUUAGUUUGUGGAGGUUCAGUUCUAGUUUUCAUCCUGUCAUGGGUCGUAAUAAGCUUGUGAUGAAGAAAAUUGAAAAUUCAACAUCCCGCCAACAGACCUAUUCAAAGCGCAAGGAUGGUAUUGUUAAGAAGGCAAAUGAGUUGGCUGUUUUAUGUGACACAGAUGUUGGUCUUUUAAUGUUUUCUCCAACCGGUCAAGUGACCAGCUAUUCUAGCAGAGGAAGUGUUGAGGAUAUCCUGCUCCGUAUUGUGAACCGGCCUGGUGAACUGAACAGGCGACCCAUUCCAAAUGAAGAGCACUUGACACAGAGGCUCAUAAAGUCAAAACAUGAAGGAGAAAUGGUGGAAAAGAUAGCUAUGCUCUUGAGGAGAAGCUCAAUAAGCUCAAUCAAAGACUAAGUGAAGCACGAGAGAAAAUAAGGCAUUACGAACCGCAAGUGGAGAACAUCACCUCAGUCCAAGAAGCUGCUGUAUGCGAGCAGUUCCUUUUGAGUGCUCUGGGACGGAUACAACAAUCAAAAGCCAAAUUCUUGGGUGGCAAUGAAUUUAUCAAGACAAAUGAACAUACUGAGGAACCAGUAGGGGAUGAAAAUUGCGAGAAACAGACAGGAUCUCAGCCCAGCAUUAGCUUAUCGUGUCGAACAGAUGCAGCAGGAGUUAUAUUAUACAGUACUAGUAUAUGUGUUAAGAACUUAGUAAAUAACUUGCACUUAUCAAGCAAGCAGAAGUAUGAAUAGUGUUGCCUGUAUCUAUCACUGCAGGAGUUAAAUUAGUAUGUGUUAAGAACUUAGUAAACACCUUGCACUUAUCAAGCAAGCAAAAGUAUGAAUAAUGUUGCUCAUAGCUAUUACAGCAACUUUAGAGUUCUUCUAUGACAUCAAUCAUAGGUGGUAUUUAGAAUAGAAAACAAUUUCGUUUUGUUUUAUCUUAACUUCGAUAAUUUGUGUAUCCUCCAAGUUUCGCAAGUUCUUUGUUAAUUUUCUGAACCUUGAAAAUAGAAGCUACAGAACCUUGGCUAAUA